rnacentral:rRNA from 1 species
AACAAACGCUGGCGGCGUGCCUAACACAUGCAAGUCGUACGAGAAAGUCGGCUUCGGCCGAUGAGUACAGUGGCGCACGGGUGAGUAACGCGUGGGUAAUCUGCCCCCCGGUCAGGAAUAACCCGCCGAAAGGCGGGCUAAUACCCGAUAACACUGACGCUCUGCGGAGUGUCUUUCAAAGAAGGCCUCUGUUUACAAGCUUUCGCCGGAGGAUGAGCCCGCGUACCAUUAGCUAGUUGGCAGGGUAAUGGCCUACCAAGGCAACGAUGGUUAGCUGGUCUGAGAGGAUGGCCAGCCACACUGGAACUGAGACACGGUCCAGACUCCUACGGGAGGCAGCAGUGAGGAAUCUUGCGCAAUGGGGGAAACCCUGACACAGCAACGCCGCGUGAGUGAAGAAGGCCUUCGGGUCGUAAAGCUCUGUCAGAUGGGAAGAAAUGGAUGGGGGCUAAUACCUUGUGUGGAUGACGGUACCGGAAUAAGAAGCACCGGCUAACUACGUGCCAGCCGCCGCGGUAAAAC